UUUCAAAUGAUGUGCCGGGUUCAGGGUGAUCGCGAAUGCUCUGACCCCGGGUUGAGGCUCACCAUUGCACCUCGGUGGGUUGAAACUCAUGACGGACCCUUAUCGGGUGCGCUCGGGCGUUUAGUUUUCGUUAGUGGGGAGGCCUCACGGUCCUUCCUUU
rnacentral:snRNA from 1 species